rfam:Zea mays cultivar B73 chromosome 2, whole genome shotgun sequence.
CAGCUGUGUGGCAAGCACAAAGCGAACUAUUCUUUCGCCUUUUACUAAAGAAUACCGUGUGCUUGCCACAAUUACAGCAUACAUUUAUUUUUGGAGGUGUUGUCUCUUGUUGAGAGAGC